GACGAACGCUGGCGGCGUGCUUAACACAUGCAAGUCGAGCGGUAAGGCCCUUUCGGGGGUACACGAGCGGCGAACGGGUGAGUAACACGUGGGUGACCUGCCCUCAGCUCUGGGAUAAGCCUGGGAAACCGGGUCUAAUACUGGAUAUGACUCCAUGACGCAUGUUGUGGGGUGGAAAGCCUUGUGCGGCUGAGGAUGGGCCCGCGGCCUAUCAGCUUGUUGGUGGGGNGAUGGCCUACCAAGGCGACGACGGGUAGCCGGCCUGAGAGGGCGACCGGCCACACUGGGACUGAGACACGGCCCAGACUCCUACGGGAGGCAGCAGUGGGGAAUCUUGCGCAAUGGGCGAAAGCCUGACGCAGCGACGCCGCGUGAGGGAUGACGGCCUGGUGUAACU
rnacentral:rRNA from 1 species